rnacentral:rRNA from 1 species
CUGCGAAUGGCUCAUUAUAUAAGUUAUCGUUUAUUUGAUAGCACCUUACUACUUGGACAACCGUGGUAAUUCUAGAGCUAAUACAUGCUAAAAACCCCGACUCCGGGAGGGGUGUAUUUAUUAGAUUAAAAGCCAAUGCCCCCCGGGCUCUCUGGUGAUUCAUGAUAACUCGUCGAAUCGCACGGCCUUGCGCCGGCGAUGGUUCAUUCAAAUUUCUUCCCUAUCAACUUUCGAUGUUUGGGUAGUGGCCAAACAUGGUUGCAACGGGUAACGGAGGGUUAGGGCUCGACCCCGGAGAAGGAGCCUGAGAAACGGCUACUACAUCCAAGGAAGGCAGCAGGCGCGCAAAUUACCCAAUCCCGACCCGGGGAGGUAGUGACAAUAAAUACUGAUACAGGGCCCUUUCGGGUCUUGUAAUUGGAAUGAGUACAAUUUAAAUCCCUUAACGAGGAACAAUUGGAGGGCAAGUCUGGUGCCAGCAGCCGCGGUAAUUCCAGCUCCAAUAGCGUAUAUUAAAGUUGUUGUGGUUAAAAAGCUCGUAGUUGAACCUUGGGCCUGGCGGGCUGGUCCGCCUCACCGCGUGCACUAGCCCCGCCGGGCCUUUCCCCCUGUGGAACCCCAUGCCCUUCGCUGGGCGUGGCGGGGAAGCAGGACGUUUACUUUGAAAAAAUUAGAGUGCUCCAGGCAGGCGUAUGCUCGAAUACAUUAGCAUGGAAUAAUGAAAUAGGACGCGCGGUUCUAUUUUGUUGGUUUCUGGGACCGCCGUAAUGAUUAAUAGGGACAGUCGGGGGCAUCAGUAUUCAAUUGUCAGAGGUGAAAUUCUUGGAUUUAUUGAAGACUAACAACUGCGAAAGCAUCUGCCAAGGAUGUUUUCAUUAAUCAGGAACGAAAGUUAGGGGAUCGAAGACGAUCAGAUACCGUCGUAGUCUUAACCAUAAACUAUGCCGACUAGGGAUCGGACGAUGUUAUUCAUUGACUCGUUCGGCACCUUACGAGAAAUCAAAGUGCG